rnacentral:lncRNA from 1 species
CCAAUCCAACAACUGACUAAAAUCAACCCAAUAGGACCUUCUCUCACCCCACCUCCAAAACGCUGAACAGGACCAAACACGGCCUUAGUAAAACACGACGUACCCGCGCACAUUUGUACUAGCCUAAGAGCAUGUUCGGAAAGCCUACGCUUAUGAGACUUAGUUCGUGUUUGGCUAGGAUUUAGUUCUCCAAUUUAGACAGACAAGCCAUCGGACGCGAAAGCUUUGGGUGAGGAAGGAAAACACUCGAUCUCAACCUCUUCAAGCCCAGGUCGAUUUCUCUUUCUUUCUUGCUCUAAUUUUCAUCAUAUUCCAAUUUAAUUUUUGGGGUUUUUUUUUUCUAUUUUUAUAUUCCCUUAGAGAUCUCAACUGGGUUCUGAUUAUUUAUCGGGAUUUUUUUUUUUUUUUUUGUUCAUUGAAACUUAAAAUGUCGAGUUUUGACCACUGAACUUUGGAAUAUGUCAUACGUUACUCACUAGCAUAAUUGUUAAAUUUUGAAAAAUAUCGAGUUUAAAGUGAGUAAUGUACAGUAUUUUUCAAAGUUCGGUGAGUAAUGUACAAUAUUUUUUAAAAUUCAUUGAGUAAUGAAUAACAUUUUUCAAAAUUUAGUGGUCAAAACUUGAUAUUUUAAACUCUAGUGAGCAAUCGAAGACAUGAACCUAAGUUCAGUGAUCAAAACUCGACAUUUUACAUUUCACUGACCAAUCAAAGACAUGGACAUAAGUUUAGUGAUCAAUGGAACAAUUAACUCCACUAUUUCAUAGGCAAUUAAACUUUAAAAGUUUUUUGGAUGAUCACCGAAUUUAUUAAAUUAUUAUUACAUCCAUCUCUCAAUGACUUAUCAUUAAAAAAUUCGACAGACUCGUUGACAAGAGGACAAAAUAUACUAUGAUGUCAUAUUAUUGUCGUUUGUUGAUGAUAGAUAAUUCAAAAAGGAGCUUAACUAUAUAUACUUAACCAAAAAAAGUAAAAAUAAUUCUAAAUAAAAUAACAGCUAAACAAAAGAAAACGUGCAAAUAUUAAAACUCAAUCACAAAUUUUAUAAGCCUUCAAUAGAUGGAAAUGGGGUUUUGGCUAAUUUAUUGUCCACUAACGAUUAUAAUGAGUCAUGCCAGUAUUUCCAUUUGCCAUGUCAAUGAGCUCGUUGAAUUUUUUCAUGGUGGGUUACUGAGUGAUGAGAUAACGAUUUGAUAAGUUCAGUGACUAUCCGAAAUAAAACUCUUAAAGUUUAAUGACCAGUAAGAUAACGAUUUGAUAAAUUUGGUUGCCAUUCGAAAAACUACAAAAAUUUAAUGGAUGGUGAAAAAUAUUUUGCAAAGUUCAAUGCUGGUUGAUUGUAUAUUUCAUUGUAAUACUAUGACUUAGAUUAUCAUUUCUUAUUUGAUCUUUUUGAAUUCAAUAUUCAGGUUACCAUCGAAUCUAUUCAUUAAAAAUAAUCGAUUUUGAUACAUUUAUUGCAUUGAUCAACAAGCUCUUUUGAUAGAAGCUUCUUUUAAGCAAACUAUCAUAUAGCUUCAAAGUAAUUAUGUAAAGCUUCCGCAUAGUCUAUUGGACAGAGCUGAAAUUCGUUAUGGUCUUUCAAGAAUCUUUUUUCCAAGAUUCGCUAAGUUUUCGAGGCCCUUAUUCUUCUUGGAAUCUGUUAUUUUGGUUCUCAUUGAGAUGAUCAGAGAAAAUGGAUACUAACUAUUUGAAACAAACUCAAUUCGGGGCAUAUAUUUAUUAAAAGAUGACACGAUUCAAAAUCUCAAUAGAGCCAUUGUUGCUUUUUGCUUCUUGCUCAACAUUGAGACAUUACACACAAUGAGACCACAUUGCAAACAAAACCAAAAUAUCAUAAAAAAGAGCCUUAUUUUGGAAAGUGCAUUAACCAUUGUUAGAGUACGACUGGCUUAACUCAUUGCGAAAAGGCUAAAUUUGGACUUCUGUCAAUUAUGAGCGAUCAUAGCAUCAACAAAAUUAUUGUUCUUAAUUAAUAACGAAGUGAUUUGAUAAUAAUAAAAUGUAUUCUGAAUCAUAGAUAAAUAUCGAUAUAUCAAAAUCAAUAAUAUUAAAUCUGCAUCAAAAUAGUUCGUUUGUAUUGCCAUUGUGAUAUCAUUGAUUUUCUUUGUUUGGUCCAACAAACAAAAAACAUGAAAAUUCCCAAUCCAACAACUGACUAAAAUCAACCCAAUAGGACCUUCUCUCACCCCACCUCCAAAACGCUGAACAGGACCAAACACGGCCUUAGUAAAACACGACGUACCCGCGCACAUUUGUACUAGCCUAAGAGCAUGUUCGGAAAGCCUACGCUUAUGAGACUUAGUUCGUGUUUGGCUAGGAUUUAGUUCUCCAAUUUAGACAGACAAGCCAUCGGACGCGAAAGCUUUGGGUGAGGAAGGAAAACACUCGAUCUCAACCUCUUCAAGCCCAGGUCGAUUUCUCUUUCUUUCUUGCUCUAAUUUUCAUCAUAUUCCAAUUUAAUUUUUGGGGUUUUUUUUUUCUAUUUUUAUAUUCCCUUAGAGAUCUCAACUGGGUUCUGAUUAUUUAUCGGGAUUUUUUUUUUUUUUUUUAACACUGCAGAGUGGACGAGGAUACAUCUUAAAUGACUGCUGCACAAUUUACUGUUUGCUGCAUCUUAUAACUUCUUGAUUUUCCAUUUUGAAAAUGGAUUUUGUUAAAUGGCUGAUGACUUCUUUAUUCUCUCGUUUGUGCUGGUUCGAUGCUAUCAUAUAUUACUUUUGAGCUGAGGAAGCUCAAAGUAAAAUGGUGUUUUACAGUAUGAAGUUUGACUGAGAAAGGUGUGUUCCACCUUUCCUGAACAUGUAUUUUGUUGACACAAUUAACUCACUAGAAGCUGCAGCAUGGAAAGUGAGGAAAAUAUAGAAACUGGU